rnacentral:pre_miRNA from 1 species
AUCACCUAGGAUCUUGUUAAUAUGCACAUUUUUAUUCAGCAUUUCUAGGAUGGAAAUUCUGCAUUUCUAACAAGAUCUCAGGUGAUGCCUU